UUAAGUAUUUAUAUUUGUCAGAAAGAUGUGAAUUUAAAUUAUUGAAAGCCUGAGGACUAAAAAUACAAAAAAGAGAACAUCAUGACCAGAAGUUCAUUGACGCUUAUGUACUUGAACCUUUGGCGAGUUGAAAGAUUACGACAAGACACUCACCCAUCUUCACCCAACUCUCUCCUCAAGGAAUGGGGCAACAGCAGGAAGUAUAAGGGGCAUGUUACCAAAAGUCUGAGCCACAUCUGGGAGCAGAAGCCAGUCAGCAAGAAAGGAGCAAGUUCUGAAGCCUUGAUCCAUAACAGUAGAAGCUUUAAUACCCAGGGAUCUUUGAUGAAAGUGGGUCACCCUGAGGCCAUGACUCAAUGAUCUAAGAAGUUGAGAGAGAGAGAGAGUGGAGGGAUCCAACAAAUGUAAUAGGGAACCACUGGAGUUUAUCCACCAAGGCAUGACAGAAUCAGAGAUGUGCUUUACGAAUAUCACUUUAAUACCUAUGCAAAGGAUACAAGGAGAAAGAAAAUCCUUUUAGGCAGGUAAAAAGCAAAGUGGAUAGAGUCCUGCACCUGGAGACAGGACCAACUAAGUUUAAAUAUGGCUUCAGAUACUUACUAGCUAUGUGUGCCUGGACAAGUCAAAUAACCCUAUUUGCCUCAGUUUUCUCUUCUGUAAAAUAAGUUAAAAAAGGAAAUGGCUAAUCCCAGAAAUUGCCAAGAAAACCUCAGCUGAAGUCAUAAAGAACUGAACAUUUCUGAAACAACUCAACAAUAACAAUAUCCCAUACUUUUAAAGAACUUUGUAAGUCUUAAACUAUAUAUAUAUGCUGGGUAGGUAUUUACUAAUCCUAAGCUCUCCCUGGCUGCUUCAUUUUGAUUGACAUGGAAAUUAAAUAUUUGCAAGAAAAGA